CUGCUAUCGGGAUAGGACUAAGACAUGCUAGUCGAGUGACUCAGGCAAAACGAGUCACGGCACACAGCUCAGUAACACGUGGCUAAUCUGCCCUUGGGACUAGAACAACCCCGGGAAACUGGGGCUAACUCUAGAUAGGUGAAGAACUCUGGAAUGAGUCUUUGCCUAAAUAGGUUCACGUUAUCCUCGUGAACUUGCCCAAGGAUGAGGCCGCGACCGAUCAGGUUGUUGGCGAGGUAAUGGCUCACCAAGCCUUUUACCGGUGCGGGCCGUGGGAGCGGGAGCCCGGAGAUGGGUACUGAGACAAGGACCCAGGCCCUACGGGGCGCAGCAGUCGCGAAACCUUUGCAAUACACGAAAGUGUGACAGGGCUAUCCCGAGUGCCAUCCGCUGAGGAAGGCUUUUACCCAGUUUAGAACGCUGGGGGAAUAAGGAGAGGGCAAGUCUGGUGUCAGCCGCCGCGGUAAUACCAGCUCUCCGAGUGGUGUGGAUGUUUAUUGGGCCUAAAGCAUCCGUAGCUGGCUAGGUAAGUCCCUUGUUAAAUCCACCGAAUUAAUCGUUGGAUCGCGGGGGAUACUGCUUGGCUAGGGGACGAGAGAGGCAGACGGUAUUUUCGGGGUAGGGGUGAAAUCCUAUAAUCCCGGGAAGACCACCAGUGGCGAAGGCUGUCUGCUAGAACGCGCCCGACGGUGAGGGAUGAAAGCUGGGGGAGCGAACCGGAUUAGAUACCCGGGUAGUCCCAGCUGUAAACGAUGCAGACUAGGUGUUUGGACGGCCACGUGCCGUUCUAGUGCCGCAGGGAAGCUGUUAAGUCUGCCGCCUGGGGAGUACGAUCGCAAGAUU
rnacentral:rRNA from 1 species